CUGAUCAUGAUUCUGACAAGGAUAAGGAAUAUAUUCCAGAUAUUCAAAAUAAAAACCAGAUAAUAAAUGAUAAUAAUCCUGAUGAGGAAAUAAUAAUUGUUAAUAGUUUAGUAAUACCAGAGGUUAAAUCAAUUGAAAAUAAUGAAUCAAAUAUUGUUGAUUGUUGAAAGCCUGCAAUAAGCCAUAUUGAAAAUACCACGUAUCCUAAUACUAACAAAGAAACGUCAUCUAUUUCAAAAACUAUAGCUCAUCCAUAUUGUACUUCGUACUUCAGUUGAUAAUACUGUACUGAAAAAUAUUUUGAACUAUCUGGCAUACUUAAAAGUCGAAGUUACCAAAAUUUCUGAUACUCAACGAGAAAUAAUUCAGGUGAUUAACAAUUCAAGUUCAUCUAAUAUCAGUACUUUAAAUUAUUUUUAAACUAAUAAAAAAAGGUACAAUAGCAAUAACGAUAUUAAUUAACAUCAUUACGUACGCGUCGAACGAUUCAACGCGACGUAAGUAUAUACGACAACGUCAAAAAUAUGUACAGAUAAAUUACAGAAAAUUAAAAUAACCUUGUGGGUACGAGCUGAGUAUAUUAUGAUAUAUAAAAAAAAAAUAUGAUAUAAUAAAAUUGGUCACUCGAAAUGUCGUUAUCUACGCGACGGUGCACCCCAAUCCAUUGCAGGAUAGUGAACUGCAUACAUAUCCCAUACCGCAUCUGCGGUCGUUGUCCUUACCGCCGCCAUCGCCGUCACCAUUUUAUGUUUGCGGUCGCUACCUUCGCCGGUUUUUUCGCUUUGAUACUUAGCGUCCUUGGGUUUGCCGUGAGUGUCGUGUUCCACUGCUGCGGCGUUCGACGUGGACGGAUGUGACUGCAGCGGCGCAGGCGAGGACGGCGCCAUCAUCGGUGGCACGUGCGGGUGCAUGCAGAGCGGUUUUUACGGAGCCGAAUUUUACGGAAGAACUUCCGCGUCCGGCGACGAGCCCAGCUGAACCGGACAGUCCGUGCACGACCGCGAGAUCAUCGCGUCCAAAACGCUGCAUACCUCGACUGCUGACCGACUACGAAUUAUUUGCGCGCGGCUGUGGCGGCGACGACUUCUCGAUGAUCUCGUAGAAGACGUCUGUUUGUUUUUUGGGUAGCAGUGCGGGUGGCCUUGGCUGUUGCCGCGGCCGCGAGCGCCGCAACAAAGCCAAUCGGUGUACCUGUCCACGUUGACGAAUCGUACACAGCGACAGGUUAGCUAGGUCAGGAACGCGGUCUGAUUCGUUUUCCUGUUCGACAAACACCACUUGGAGUUACGAGUUGAACCGAACGGUUUUCUUUUCACGAUUCUUUUUUACGCGAUCGUUGUCCAUCUUUUGAGCGAAAUGCCAAACACUAAAUUCGAUAAUACGAGAGUAUUUUAUGUGUUCUUAAUAUAUUAUAUUAAUUCAAUGUAUUUAUCUUAAUGUUUGUGUGUAUAGUUCACUUAAUUCUACCGAUAGUAUUUGUCGAUUUUACCUAUAAACUUUCUUAAUUCAAUAAUAUAUUUUUCAAACUAAAAUAAUAAUUAUUAUUUUAACAUAUUACUACUAUUUGUUAAUAAAUAACCAAUUGUUAGUAAAGUACUAAGUUGUAAAGGUGUA